rnacentral:rRNA from 1 species
CAGGCCUAACACAUGCAAGUCGAACGGCAGCACGGGAGCAAUCCUGGUGGCGAGUGGCGAACGGGUGAGUAAUAUAUCGGAACGUGCCCAGUCGUGGGGGAUAACGUAGCGAAAGUUACGCUAAUACCGCAUACGAUCUACGAUGAAAGUGGGGGAUCGCAAGACCUCAUGCUCAUGGAGCGGCCGAUAUCUGAUUAGCUAGUUGGUAGGUAAAAGCCUACCAAGGCGACGAUCAGUAGCUGGUCUGAGAGGACGACCAGCCACACUGGGACUGAGACACGGCCCAGACUCUACGGGAGGCAGCAGUGGGAAUUUUGACAAUGGCGAAAGCCUGAUCCAGCAAUGCCGCGUGCAGGAUGAAGGCUUCGGGUUGUAAACUGCUUUUGUACGGAACGAAACGGUCCUUUCUAAUACAGGGGGCUAAUGACGGUACCGUAAGAAUAAGCACCGGCUAACUACGUGCCAGCAGCCGCGGUAAU